rnacentral:rRNA from 1 species
CACUCCUGCGGGAGGCAGCAGUGGGGAAUAUUGGACAAUGGGCGAAAGCCUGAUCCAGCAAUGCCGCGUGAGUGAUGAAGGCCUUAGGGUUGUAAAGCUCUUUUACCCGGGAUGAUAAUGACAGUACCGGGAGAAUAAGCCCCGGCUAACUCCGUGCCAGCAGCCGCGGUAAUACGGAGGGGGCUAGCGUUGUUCGGAAUUACUGGGCGUAAAGCGCGCGUAGGCGGCUUUGUAAGUUAGAGGUGAAAGCCCGGAGCUCAACUUCGGAAUUGCCUUUAAGACUGCAUCGCUAGAAUCGUGGAGAGGUGAGUGGAAUUCCGAGUGUAGAGGUGAAAUUCGUAGAUAUUCGGAAGAACACCAGUGGCGAAGGCGACUCACUGGACACGUAUUGACGCUGAGGUGCGAAAGCGUGGGGAGCAAACAGGAUUAGAUACCCCAGUAGUCC